CAGAGAAUAGUUUUAAGAAUUAAAAUAUUAAUUUUGGAUAUUAGUGAUAAGUAUUUCUUUUCUCUGA
rnacentral:tRNA from 1 species